GAAGUAUUGUGUGGCGAAUGGUGUUCUGUGUUGUUAUCGAACCGCAAUCAAACGAAAAUGCAUUAUUGCAGUUUAUGGUUUGCGUACGAAAUCAUUUCUGCGCGACGUACUCGUAACCUGCAACCGCGGAGAUAGGUACUGCGACCGCGCACCGCGUCCGUUGCAACGCGUUGUUUUGUCAAUAUUAACCCACAAUCGGCGAUUCCGUCCAUUGUCGCCCACAUUACUUGUCUUGCGACGAUAAACAGAGCAUUUUGUUUGUUUUGUCUUGAAGUGGCUCCAUCAAGAACUGGUGUCUAUCGAUGGUUUUCGAAAUUCAAUCGAGACUGAAGACACAAAGACGGAUUUCGUAAAGAUCGUCCAAAAUUGGUUGUUAUUCCGGAAAACAUUGAUGCUGUGGUCAACAGAUGCUGCAUAAUCGUCAUGUGACCUACCUUCUGCGAGAAACGUACGUAGCCC